AUUGAACGCUGGCGGCAGGCUUAACACAUGCAAGUCGAGCGGGGAAGGGUAGCUUGCUACCUGACCUAGCGGCGGACGGGUGAGUAAUGCUUAGGAAUCUGCCUAUUAGUGGGGGACAACAUUCCGAAAGGAAUGCUAAUACCGCAUACGCCCUACGGGGGAAAGCAGGGGAUCUUCGGACCUUGCGCUAAUAGAUGAGCCUAAGUCAGAUUAGCUAGUUGGUGGGGUAAAGGCCUACCAAGGCGACGAUCUGUAGCGGGUCUGAGAGGAUGAUCCGCCAGACUGGGACUGAGACACGGCCCAGACUCCUACGGGAGGCAGCAGUGGGGAAUAUUGGACAAUGGGCGAAAGCCUGAUCCAGCCAUGCCGCGUGUGUGAAGAAGGCCUUUUGGUUGUAAAGCACUUUAAGCGAGGAGGAGGCUACUUGGAUUAAUACUCUAGGAUAGUGGACGUUACUCGCAGAAUAAGCACCGGCUAACUCUGUGCCAGCCGCCGCCGUAAGAC
rnacentral:rRNA from 1 species